rnacentral:rRNA from 1 species
AUUGAACGCUGGCGGCAGGCCUAACACAUGCAAGUCGAGCGGAUGAAGGGAGCUUGCUCCUGGAUUCAGCGGCGGACGGGUGAGUAAUGCCUAGGAAUCUGCCUGGUAGUGGGGGAUAACGUCCGGAAACGGGCGCUAAUACCGCAUACGUCCUGAGGGAGAAAGGGGGGGAUCUUCGGACCUCACGCUAUUAGAUGAGCCGAGGUCGGAUUAGCUAGUUGGUGGGGUAAAGGCCUACCAAGGCGACGAUCCGUAACUGGUCUGAGAGGAUGAUCAGUCACACUGGAACUGAGACACGGUCCAGACUCCUACGGGAGGCAGCAGUGGGGAAUAUUGGACAAUGGGCGAAAGCCUGAUCCAGCCAUGCCGCGUGUGUGAAGAAGGUCUUCGGAUUGUAAAGCACUUUAAGUUGGGAGGAAGAGCAGUAAGUUAAUACCUUGCUGUUUUGACGUUACCAACAGAAUAAGCACCGGCUAACUUCGUG